rnacentral:rRNA from 1 species
ACCCGUGGCGAACGGCUGCGUAACACGUUGGUACAUACCCCGAACUCAGGGAUACCCCCGCGAAAGCGGGACUAAUACCGGAUGCCCUCGCAAGAGGAAAGAUUUAUCGGUUCGGGAAUGGCCUGCGGCCUAUCAGAUAGUUGGUGAGGUAACGGCUCACCAAGUCUAUGACGGGUAGCUGAUUUGAGAGAAUGAUCAGCCAGAAUGGGACUGAGACACGGCCCAU